rnacentral:rRNA from 1 species
UCCACGCCGAACCUCAACGCUCCACUGGUGUCUGCUCUUGCUGAUCGGUGGAGACCGGAGACGCACAGUUUCCAUCUUCGUACUAGGGAGAUGAUAGUGACGCUCAGGGAUGUCUCCUUGAUCACUGGUCUUGCUAUCGACGGGUGUCCUCUCUAUAUGAGCACCUAUUCUGAUGGGUGGUGCCAGUAG